rnacentral:tRNA from 1 species
AAGAGGUUAAUUAAAUUAUAAUACCGGCCUGUCAGACCGAACUUGCUAGUUAAACCCUAGUACCCCUUG